ensembl:lncRNA
CUCCUUUCUCAAAUCAUCAACUCUUUAAAAAGAGUCACCCUUUUAAAUGGACCAGAAUGGCUCUGUGGCUGCUGUCCUUCCAUCUCAGCCUCCUGACUCUAUGAAGGGUGGGUUUCUGGAUGCUCGGAGCAACCUGGGACAACAAGAAUAACCAGAAGGCCCAGGGACAAACUGCAGAAAUUUUCCCAGCACACCCCUUGCCCCUUUGGUUAGGACUGCAUCCUGGAAGGAAAACACUGCGCCUGGACAACAAUACGUUGCCUUUUUCCUGGCAAAGAACUGGUGUGGGAGUGGAAAAUUUUAGGGACUCUGAUUUAGCAGUUUGGUUUCGUCGUAUUCACGACCCACCAUGGAGAACUACAAACCCCGGUCUGAACGCAGGGAGUCAGAGCGAGAUUAGAGCAAUGGUUUCCGGAGAAAACAGAGAUCACCUGCUAAGGAUGCAGAUUCGGACUCACCCCAGAGGCCCAGUGGCAGGGCCUGAGGACCAGGAGGAAGGCCAUGCUGAAUUCAGAGUCAGGCUGCUGGGUGAGAUGGGGAAGGGCAGAGGUGUCACCAGGGAGCGGGUGCCUUGUCUGCAGCCAUCAAGAGGCCUGACCAGUCCUCAGAGGAGGCACCUCCCAACCCGCGGCCCAGGGGACGCUCCCUGUGGGGUGAUGCCAAGCUGAGUCUUGAAGGGCGAGGAGGAGCUGGCAGGCGAAGAAGGGGUCCGUGAUUCAAGCUUUGUGGAGAAACAUCAGAGUUGACCCUCAGAGACCAUCCUAGUGGAAGAACCGAGGAGUGGGUGUUCAUCUGUUGGGAUGUUGAAUCCUGUCUGACUAGCACCCAAGUCGUCUCUGCCAUUUCAUUUGCUGUGACGUGGGCUCGCUACUUAAUCUCCCCUCCUGUUUCUUCAUCUGUAAGAUGGAGAGGCUCCCCGAAAUCUGCAGGAUGGUCACAAAGAUUAGAUAGGAUGGUAAACGCAACAGGUUGAAGACCAUAGUAGGCUCCUCUGAGCUCAGAGAUAUUUCUUCUUCUGAUUAGUCAUCGAGGAGGGUAUUCGAUUUCUAGCCCAUCCCCUCUCCCCUUUCGGGGAACCCAGAGAGAGAAGAGAGUGACUUUUCAAGGCCAAACAGCCACUUGGCAGAAGAGAGAGGCUGCUGUCUCAGGUCGUCCUGCUCCGGGUCCUGAGGGCCCCCCACUCAACUUGUGGCCCCUUGAGUCCCCUUCUCAGUGGCAGUUUCCUUCUUCCGGAUCUCAAGGGUCUGAAGGGCUCCAGAGCAGCCCAUUGAGAAGUGGAAAAUCCCCAAGUGGCUUCCGCAAUCUGGUUCCUUUGUGGCAUUUCAGAGAAAGUGGAUGCAAGCCAACAACAUACGCAAGUGGCCCGACCAACGGGCUGAUAAGACGAGUGCAAAGUUUGGUUUUCGGAGGCCCUGCUGCAAAUGUGGCCGGUCAACAAAAUUGAAAAAUAGUUUUGACUGCUUGUUGUCUCUACACAUUAACAGCCACUUCAACACAUGCUCCCUCGUUAGCUAACAAGCCUCAGGGGUCACAUUUGGAUUCAGCCAGUAUAUAUAACCAGUGUUUCUUGAGCACCUACUCUGAGCAGAUGGUGCGCUCGGUACUUUCCCAUCCUUGUCCUCACGGAGGCCUCCCCACCUCCGCAUGGGUGGGCUGAUGGCCAUUUUGCAGGUGAGGAAGAAGAGUUUCAGAAUAGUCUCAGAGUUGAAAGAGUGGCAUGACCACUCGUUCCCCAUAGUGGAAAGCCAGCAGUGUCGGCUCCGUGUCAGGUGUCCUUUCCACCACAGUAAACCCCCCGUCACGAGAGAACUGAUUGGCUGUUCAAGCUGUGUUGAUUUUCCCCAGCUCGGCAAUCCCUUCCAUCAACACAGCUCCUCUGUGGUCAUUUCCUUGGUAGACGCCGUACCCAUUUAGUUGACUUGUGGUCAGUCUGGUUGUGCCUGUGUGGGUGUAGAAAUCCUUCCAGCUUCUGGGAGACCUGAUGGAAGUCGAGAGUGACAACGUGAGUCUGGGGCCAAAACUUCCCAUGACCCCCGUCUGAACUUUCAGGGAUGUGCCAGUUGGCUUCUCUUGAAGGGGAAGAGAGGAAGAAAGAGUCAAGAUGAACCAGGAUGUAUGAUGAUGAGUCUUUAGCAGAUGCCAAGUCCUGUGGGGGCAUGAAUGUUCAGCAGAUUGAGUGGGACCAAGCUGGGUUAGGAUCCCACAUCUGGCACCUUCUAAGUGAGUGAGCUCUGAUGUCAGUGUUGGCUUAGUGUCUCCAAGUUUCCAUUUCUUCGUCUAAGAAUGGAGCUGCUAACAGAAGCUUUUAGGGACUGUGGUGAGAGUUAAAAAUAACAGCUCUAUUGGAAAUUAUAUUCACACUGAGCUCUCGACCCUUAGACACUAGGCUCAGGGCUGCAUGGUUAAAAGUGUGGCUUCCUGAGCCAGGUGCCUGGGGUCAAGUCCAGGCAGUGACCUUGAAGCAGUUCACUGAAUUUAAGUCUCAGGGUCCUAAUCUGAAGAUACAGCAGCAACAGCACCCACUUCAUAGGUCAUUAGGAGAACUAUAUCUACACAAAACUCAGCUCUUAGCCUCAGAGUGGAAGCUGAGAAAGUUGGUUGAAGGAGGUACAAUAUGGAGUGGCCCAGAAUUUUAAGACAAAGACCAAGUCCUGGUCACCAAAACAUCAAAGUCAGGCAGAUCUGGGUCCAUUUCUGUGCACCGUGUUCCUGUGAGAGCAAGAAGGAUCAGUACAGGAGAAAGUGCUUCAUAAAUUGCCAAUUGUCUUCAAAUACAAAGGUAAGGGCGGAGCCCACGAUUGUGGUCAUUGUCACGCUUGUUCUGUCCUGGAGGGCUGGGUCCAUGUCUUCUGGCUUCUAAGACCAUCCUGGCAUAUAAGAGAAACCACGUCACCCCCAGGGCCUGGCCCAGUAGGUGGUACCUGGAUGGGGUUCCCUGAGUGUUUGCUGAGUUGCUUGAGUGUCUGCCUCGGGGAACCGACUCCCUAAGACUCUGGGCCCCCACCCACCCACUUGCCGCGGAGUGCAACUCCAUCACAUUUUAGCUACCGCUGCUGGGCCAAUGAUGUGGGCAUGUGGACGGUACUCUGCCAAUUCUAGCGCCUCACUGAUGUUUGCUAAACUGAUCAUCUGCCGAGGGAAUCCCAAAUGGCAUCUACCCUUUCCUGGGAAGGAAAAGAAAUGGUUAUCUGUUUGUAAUAUUCUUCACCUAGCAUUUUUAAUACACAGCUUUCCACGUUUAGAAAAAGAAAUGGAAAUUAAACCAUCACCGGGAAAUUUUCUUUUCCUCCUCUCUAAAUUUCCGCAUUUGCACAAUGUCCUUCAAUUAAACUUGAAAUCAAAUCACGUUCCCCUUGAGUGGUCAUUUUAAUAUCUGCAAGUUUCCUGGGAGGGAAGAUUAGAAGGAGCGAUUGACUCUGCCAGGCUUCUCCUGCCUCCACAGAGAUGCUCUUGAAGGGCAUAUACCUUCCGGUUAUGGGGCCUGGAGCACUGCAUGGGCCACACUCGGUCCCUCUCCUGUGCCCUCCUCCCGGGAGCUCUAACCCCGACACAGUCUCUCUCUCUAAAUAUUUUAACUGACACAGCUGAUGGUUCCUAGAGGGUAUCUAGGGGCCUUUGGUAUCUAUUCUUGUUCCAUGCCAUCCCUUCUGCCAGGAACAGUCUCUCCCACACGUCCACCCAUGCUCUGUCGCGACUUUGAGCCAGGUGCUUCUUGUCUUCUCUCCCCAGGAUCCAUCCUCCGUUCUCUGAUCAGAGCAUCUCGAUUUUCCAACAGGGUACCACCUCGCCAGUAUGCUCAGCCCCUGCAGCUCCCGCUGCCCUCAGCAUAAAAGCUGAAGUCCUUUGAUGGUUUCUCCGGUGCUGCAUGCUCUCCGCGCCCCACCCUCCCCUGACGUGCCCUUCUCCCCAUCGCUCAGUGGGGUCAAGCUAUGGGAUAUCUGGUGCCCCUCAAAGCUGUCAGGCCUUUUCUUGCCUCACGGCCCCAGAGAUGGCUCUUCUCACGGCUGUUUUCCUUUGUACCCCAGUGACUCUCUUGGCUGGGUCCUCAGCAUCUUCAGCUUCUGCACAAUGUUGUCGCCUCUCCCGGGGACCAUCCUCAACAACCCUUUUUAAUGUAGCACCCUGCCCCCAUUCCUCGGGUUAUUUUUCUCCCUAUCAUUUGUACAUACUGCAUCUACCCCACCUGUGUUUUCCUCAUUUGCAAGCUCACCCAGGGCAGGGAGUUCUGUCCUUUCUGUCCUGUGCAGCUUCCUCUCUCAGAGCAGGGCUCGACUCCCAGUGUGGUCCUUAAUGAAUGUUCUGGAAUGAAUGCAGUUUGGAAAAGGCUGACGUGUUCCCCUUCCCUGUUCCUCUGAUUCCAGAGAUGGGCAGACAUCCCAAGCCUGCCCAGGCAGCGUCUUCUACCCCUCUGAAGCAGGGACUGGCCCAGGGAGGCACAAGACUCAGGCCACACCAGCGAGAGUCAGCCCAAGAACAACUGGGAAAGGGGUUCUUUUCUUCCCUGGAGUUGCUGAACUGGUAAAGUGUGGGCCGCCAGCUGCAGGAGGCCAUUUUACCAAUACUUAGAGAAAUGCACCCAAGGAGGAAGCUUGGUGAGAGCAAAGCAAAGCCAAGAGAUGGAAAGAAACUUGCCUCAGGGCCUUUGAACAGACUCUUCUGUCUGCUCACUCACCUGUACCUGAAUCUCCACCUCUGAUGCAUGUUUACUUGGGCCAAUGAAAUCCUCUUUUGUUUAAGCCAAGGUUACGUAUAUCCCCUUGACAGCAUUCAGCACUGCGUCUUCACGUAUCACCGGCCUAUCUGGGCUCCCAGCACCUCAGGCGUUCCUUGAGCCCAGGAUCACCUAUGAGUCAUCUUUAGACAUUCCGCACCGAAAACAAAGUCAGACGCAGAAAUAAAUAUUCGUGGAGUCAGGAGCUGAAUGAAUGAAAUCAGCUCAUCCCGUUCUCCUGGCUUUCCUACCUCCCUCGGCAAACCACCGCCUCCCCGCCAUGUGAAAGGAGCAGAUACAAGAGGACAAGAUUCUCAGGUUGAGAAGGUCGUCAUUUGCCAGCUGCGUGAUUUGGGACGUGGAGGAGUCGCGUGGCCAUCUCGUGUAGGGAAGGACCCAUUGGUCGGCUCUUUUUGGUGCCCAUGCUCAACAGCCUUUCGGAGACAAUGGGGGGAAGGAGCACAAGGACCUUCUGCGAGGCCAGCCUUCAAGACUCUGGCUUCUUUCUGUCUCUAGGACAUUGAGGACAGUCAGUGGGACAAUGACGGAGCCCCUCUGUCUGGAAGCCACUUUCAUUUUCCCCACAGAGCCCCGAGGCCCUGAUUCUCAGGUUUAAUGAUUUUUUCCCUCUGAUGAGUAAAGUUGGAAAUAAUGAAUUGUGAUUGUUGCCCAUUGUUCUCACUAUGAAUACUUUUUCUCUAGAAGGAAAAAAAAUCACAUUUUUUCAACAAAGGAAACAUACAGAGCUGAUGAAGGUUCCGGGAGGUUUUCAGUGAAAUCUUGUGCCAACCUACUGUUUAUGUCUCCGAGGGAGGAAGCGGGAGCUAGCCGUGCUCCCUCCCCUCCGUGAAGCGGACUGGGUGGGACGGGGCUUCUCUGGGUCCCUGCCCCUCAAGCCACUUGGAAACAGAUGCCCAAAAGUCGGCAAGAUCCUCAGGGACUUUCUUUCCUUACAGCAGAGGCCCUCGUGGGUGUAGGUUCCUGGGGCUUUAGAAACCAAAGAACUCCCCUAAACAGAGGCCUGGAAUCUGUGGGUGACAACUGGGUGCUAUUUGGAGAGUGAAUAAAGG